GUGCUCACUUUGGCGGGACAUAUACUAAAAUUGGAAUGAUACAGAGGAGAUUAGCAUGGCCCCUGCGCAAGGAUGACACACCAAUUUGUGAAGUGUUCCAUACUAAU
ensembl:snRNA U6 U6 spliceosomal RNA